GACGGAGGGUGCUAGCGUUGUUCGGAAUCACUGGGCGUAAAGGGCGCGUAGGCGGCGGAUCAAGUCGGCUUUGUGAAAGCCCGGGGCUCAACCCCGGAGGUGCGGCCGAGACUGAUCUGCUGGAGGCCGGAAGAGGAGGGUGGAAUACCCAGUGUAGAGGUGAAAUUCGUAGAUAUUGGGUGGAACACCGGUGGCGAAAGCGGCUCUCUGGUCCGGUCCUGACGCUGAGGCGCGAAAGCGUGGGGAGCAAACAGG
rnacentral:rRNA from 1 species